GGGGAAUUUUGGACAAUGGGCGCAAGCCUGAUCCAGCCAUGCCGCGUGUCUGAAGAAGGCCUUCGGGUUGUAAAGGACUUUUGUCAGGGAAGAAAAGGCUGUUGCUAAUAUCAAUAGCUGAUGACGGUACCUGAAGAAUAAGCACCGGCUAACUACGUGCCAGCAGCCGCGGUAAUACGUAGGGUGCGAGCGUUAAUCGGAAUUACUGGGCGUAAAGCGAGCGCAGACGGUUACUUAAGCAGGAUGUGAAAUCCCCGGGCUCAACCUGGGAACUGCGUUCUGAACUGGGUGACUAGAGUGUGUCAGAGGGAGGUAGAAUUCCACGUGUAGCAGUGAAAUGCGUAGAGAUGUGGAGGAAUACCGAUGGCGAAGGCAGCCUCCUGGGAUAACACUGACGUUCAUGCUCGAAAGCGUGGGUAGCAAACAGGAUUAGAUACCCUGGUAGUCCACGCCCUAAACGAUGUCAAUUAGCUGUUGGGCAACUUGAUUGCUUAGUAGCGUAGCUAACGCGUGAAAUUGACCGCCUGGGGAGUACGGUCGCAAGAUUA
rnacentral:rRNA from 1 species